rnacentral:misc_RNA from 1 species
GCGGAUGCGGCAUCAUCAAGAUUCACAAGCUUUAAGGCUUGAGUGAGAGGGGUGGCAUACGGUCACCUCCUUUAAGGCUUGAGUGAGAG